GUGCAAAAAUAAAUCCUCUUUUGCAACCCAGAACUCAUUGUUCUGUAUGAGAUUUUUAUAGAUUAGAAGGAACAUG
rnacentral:snoRNA from 1 species